UACGGAGGGAGCUAGCGUUGUUCGGAAUUACUGGGCGUAAAGCGCACGUAGGCGGCUUUGUAAGUUAGAGGUGAAAGCCCGGGGCUCAACUCCGGAACUGCCUUUAAGACUGCAUCGCUUGAAUCCAGGAGAGGUGAGUGGAAUUCCGAGUGUAGAGGUGAAAUUCGUAGAUAUCGGGAGGAACACCGGUGGCGAAGGCGGCGACCUGGGUAGAUACUGACGCUGAGGUGCGAAAGCGUGGGGAGCAAACAGG
rnacentral:rRNA from 1 species